rnacentral:rRNA from 1 species
ACGCUCGACACCUACGGGAGGUAGCAGUGGGGAAUAUUGCACAAUGGGGGAAACCCUGAUGCAGCGAUGCCGCGUGAAGGAAGAAGUAUCUCGGUAUGUAAACUUCUAUCAGCAGGGAAGAAAAUGACGGUACCUGACUAAGAAGCCCCGGCUAACUACGUGCCAGCAGCCGCGGUAAUCUGAGCGGGCUGGCAAGGC